rnacentral:rRNA from 1 species
AGUACAGACGAGUUUGUCAUGGCUCAGAAUCAACGCUGGCGGCGUGCCUCAGACAUGCAAGUCGAACGAUUAAAGCUCUCUUCGGAGAGUGCAUAGAGUGGCGCACGGGUGAGUAACACGUAAGUAAUCUACCUUCGAGUGGGGAAUACGUACCGGAAACGGGCGCUAAUACCGCAUAAUGCAGCGGCAUCGCGAGAUGACAGUUGUUAAAGGAGCAAUCCGCUUGAAGAGGAGCUUGCGGCAGAUUAGCUAGUUGGUAGGGUAAUGGCCUACCAAGGCUACGAUCUGUAACCGGUCUUAGAGGACGGUCGGUCACACUGACACUGAAUAACGGGUCAGACUCCUACGGGAGGCAGCAGUCGGGUAAUUUUGGGCAAUGGGGGAAACCCUGACCCAGCAACGCCGCGUGAAGGAUGAAGUAUUUCGGUAUGUAAACUUCGAAAGAAUAGGAAGAAUUAAUGACGGUACUAUUUAUAAGGUCCGGCUAACUACGUG